GAUGAAGAACGUAGCGAAAUGCGAUAAGUAAUGUGAAUUGCAGAAUUCAGUGAAUCAUCGAAUCUUUGAACGCACAUUGCGUCCCCUGGUAUUCCGGGGGGCAUGCCUGUUCGAGCGUCAUUUCACCACUCAAGCCUCGCUUGGUAUUGGGCAACGCGGUCCGCCGCGUGCCUCAAAUCGUCCGGCUGGGUCUUCUGUCCCCUAAGCGUUGUGGAAACUAUUCGCUAAAGGGUGUUCGGGAGGCUACGCCGUAAAACAACCCCAUUUCUAAGGUUGACCUCGGAUCAGGUAGGGAUACCCGCUGAACUUAAGCAUAUCAAUAAGCGGAGGA
rnacentral:misc_RNA from 1 species